CAUUUUAGCCAGUUGUGGCUAAAAAGUGCUGGACACAGCUAGGGCGGACAUCAUGGUUAAAGUGCCAAAGAUUCAUGUCAAGUAAAGGCAAUGGAGGAGGAUGAAAACAAGGCAGACUGACAGGUGGCAGAGAGGGCAGAUGGUGUUUCUGCAGACCUGUCCAUGUGAAGGAAAGCUCGCAAUGGGCCAAAAUCCAAAUGCAAAAUAUUUCCUUUGUGCAGUGGCACAAACACAUGCAGCAGUGGCCUGAUCUGUUGACCCAACGCUCUUGGCAGUUCGAAAUAAGCCAGCGCUGACCUACUUUUCAACUGACCUGUUUAUGCAAGCCUCUAUGCGCUCCAGUCACAAAAAUGGGGACAAAGGGGAAGCUGAAUCCAUAGGACUGUGCCACUGCUGUUGUUUGGGGAUCAUUAGCUGUACCGCUGCCCCACCUCUCCACCAGCACUGCGGCAGCCAUUGCAAUGGUGUUUCAAAGCUCCCACAAUGUUAUGACACUGACUUCAAAAAUAGAGGUGAUUAUUAAUAGCAUUUAUGUAGUUAUGAGAAUACUGGCAUUGGUUGCAUUGGCCUAUUUCACUCAACUCACUUUAG